GAUCCCUGGGAACUUUUGGGCGAGGGAAAUUCAUCUUCCUGCAAAUCAUAUGUCAAAGUGGUCAACAGCCAUGGCCGCUGCUGGGCUGGUCCCAAGUGUGAUGUGCAUGCAGCUAGCCUGCAGCCUGCAGGUUGUGUGAGUUCUGGAGGGUGUGAAGUGCGAAUGUGAUGGAUGUGAAGGAUUCCAGGGCUGGGAGGCCUUGAUGGGGGUUGUUGGAAGGGUUGUUGACAGGCGCUGUGAUUGGCGGAGGGAGAGGUCUGCUUAAGCGCCGAACAUGCAGGCGUGGAUGUUUUCUGUAUUUGUGGUUCCUCUUGAAUUUGCACGGAGUACGGGAGUAUUCUGGUUUGUUUCUGGGUCCUUCUUUCUUUUGUUACUUGUUCUUUCAUUGGAUUUUGUAUGGUCGAGAAAAGGAUGAUAGCGAGCAACCAAUAACGAACUCAUACUCAUGGAUCAAGGCUGUGGAAUGGGACACCCGCCGCCCCGUCGCACAAGCAGCCAAGCCAAGGU
rnacentral:sRNA from 2 species